rnacentral:rRNA from 1 species
GCGAAAGCCUGAUCCAGCAAUACCGCGUGUGUGAAGAAGGCCUUAGGGUUGUAAAGCACUUUCAAUUGGAAGGAAAAAUUCGUGGCUAAUAUCCGCGAACUUGACAUUACCUUUAGAAGAAGCACCGGCUAACUCCGUGCCAGCAGCCGCGGUAAUACGGAGGGUGCAAGCGUUAAUCGGAAUUACUGGGCGUAAAGCGUGCGUAGGCGGCUCGUUAAGUCAGAUGUGAAAGCCCUGGGCUCAACCUGGGAACUGCAUUUGAAACUGGCGAGCUAGAGUUUGAGAGAGGUAAGUGGAAUUUCAGGUGUAGCGGUGAAAUGCGUAGAGAUCUGAAGGAACACCAGUGGCGAAGGCGACUUACUGGCUUAAAACUGACGCUGAGGUAC